rnacentral:rRNA from 1 species
GACGAACGCUGGCGGCGUGCUUAACACAUGCAAGUCGAACGGAAAGGCGCUGCUCUUGUGGGGUGCUCGGGAGGCGAGCGGGAGGGUAACGCGAGAGUAACCUGCCCUUCACUCUGGGACAACUUCACGAAACUAGGGCUAAUACCGGACAGGAGCUCCUGGUGCUGUGGGAGGGUUGGACAGGUACGGCGGUUGGGUCUGGGCUUGCGGCGUGUGCGCCUGUUGGUGGGGUUGUGGCGUACCAAGGCUUUGACGGGUGGCCGGCCUGACAGGGUGUGCGGCCACAUUGGGACUGAGAUGCGGCGCAGACUCCUACGGGAUGCAGCAGUGGGGAAUAUUGCACUGUGGGCGGGAGCCGGAUGCAGCGACGGCGCGCGCGUGGUGAAGGCCUUCGGGUUGUGAACCGCGUUCGCCUGGGACGUGGCGGGGGUGACGGUAGUGGGUUAAGAAGCGCCGGCUAACUACGUG